ACAGCAGUAGCCGCGGGAAUACAGAGGGUGCAAGCGUUAAUCGGAAUUACUGGGCGUAAAGCGCGCGUAGGUGGUUUGUUAAGUUGGAUGUGAAAUCCCCGGGCUCAACCUGGGAACUGCAUCCAAAACUGGCAAGCUAGAGUAUGGUAGAGGGUGGUGGAAUUUCCUGUGUAGCGGUGAAAUGCGUAGAUAUAGGAAGGAACACCAGUGGCGAAGGCGACCACCUGGACUGAUACUGAAACUGAGGUGCGAAAGCGUGGGGAGCAAACAGGAUUAGAUACCCGAGUAGUCCCUGUCUCUUAUAC
rnacentral:rRNA from 1 species